rnacentral:lncRNA from 1 species
UUGAAUUUUUAAAAGUGGAUUAAGGUCGCUUGUGUUUCACUAUUGGGAAAUUCAAAUUCUUUGUAUUCCAUUCCAAUUAUAAAUCCAUCCAUUUAUUCGCGCCAGUGGAUCUACCACGCCAUCUCUUGGCUUUUUCACUUUUAAUUUCUAAAAUAAACAAACAGUGACCAAAAACGCCAAAUGUAGUGAGAGUCAUUUCGAAUUUUGAAUCCCUUUGAAUUAAAGACUGAAAAGGUUGGACCAUCACUGACUGACAUUAGCUUGCACUUGACUCAGCAAAUGUCAAAUUAUGGAUAAUGGAUUUCCAACAUUUACACAUGUGGUGUGUGACUGGAAUCGUUUAACGACCGACACCAGCGCGAAUGCUGAUUCAUUGUAAAACUCAUCUUUGUAGAAAAAAAUGUUAAAGCAGUAAGAAGUUGACGAUCGAGCAUGAGGUGCAUACAUUAAUUGCUUUUUUGUUCAUUUGAAAAGGCGAAUAAUUCGUUAAAUUUAGGCAACAGUAAUUGGCCAAUUAAAUCUAGAACUCGACGAACACGUCGCUAGAGAGAAAUUGUCCAGCCACAGCGGUUCCACAAUUGACAUACCAAUGUCAAAAUAUCCUUUGGGUGCUGUCAAUUUAAUUUAGUCAACAGUUUUAUAAAUAUGAGCUAACUAACGUGUGAUUGUGAAUUCACAUGUUGUAGAAUAACCGGAUAUGGUGGCGCUAGUAUUGCUACUUAAUGCUCAUUUACCUUUGCCCCUUUGGAUUAAUAAUUCGUUAAUUUUUCCGCAACUAUCUAGUCAUUUGCUAAAUAGAUUUUGAUGUAGUUUUGAAAUAAAAACUUUUAAUAAAAUUUAUAUGGAUUUCCCCUGUUGGUCGUUCUUCCACUAUGAUAACCAGAAAGAAGGGGAAGACCACUCAGCACUACUACCAGCUUAGUCAUGGAUCAAGCAGCAACACUGCCAAGGCCCAAAGCAUCUCUGUCAUCUUUUGGUUACCAGGUUCCUCCUACUUUGAUAUCUUAAGUACUACAGUUUCAGUUACUUUUACUUUACACAAUUCCAAAGACAUUUAUUGGCAGUGAAAGUAAGCUAAUUUUGUCUGCUAAUUGACCGUAUAUUUUCUAGCAACAAUGCUCACUUGUUACAUUUUUUAUAAUUUGCUUUUUUAUUGGCUACUUCCGGUUUCUAAACGAGUUAGUAGUUUAGUAAAUCUUCAUUUGACGCAGAAUAGAACCAAAUAUUCGGGAUCCUUGCCAAAUUUGGGGUUUAAAUCAUGUUUUAUUUUGCGUUUUUGCGUACUUCCGGUUUACCCCAAAAUCGUCCAAAAUUGCAAAUUUUGCUCAGGAAAAUUCUCGAUUUUGACAAAAUUCUGGAUUUCGUUUAAAUUACAUCUUAUCGACCCCAAAUCUCACGGAGAUCACGAAUAUUUGGUUUUUGGUCGGCAGCUCAAUGGUUAAGGCGCUAUCGCUUACUUCCGGUAUACUUCCGAAAAAUUUGUAUUAAACUAGCAAGUGAGCUUUGUUCUCUGUAAAGUUCUAAGGAUUGAAUGCUAGGUAUUAGCAACAAAUAUGAACUUUUCAACUUUUGUGAGUAUCUUUAUCUUAAUAAGACCACCUGCAAAUACUGAGUUUUGAGACGUGUCAAAUAGAUGGCGAGUUGAUUGUGUCAAUGGAAUGGCGGUUUGCUGUCAAAAGUUAAGCUAUCCUUUCUUCGAAAAUUACCAACGAAUUCAUUAAUAAAUUCCAGUGAUUUUGUCUCUAACUUGUCGGUGAUGUGUUCUAUUCUGUGUAUACGUUGGAUAAAAUUAAUGUUUCUCAUCAACUUAUAGGAGGAAACAUAAAAGAUUCGUGGCGUCGUGCAGCCUACCGGCUACCGUCUACCGUCAACUAUUUUGUUCAAAAUCAUUGUAUUCUACUGAAUGUGCCAUCGAAAUGAUACAGGAGUCAUAAUUAUCUGCUGUUUGUAUUGGACUUGGUAGAUCACCAACGGCCCAGCAUAGACCAAUCUCACAUUUCAUCUUCUCGAGAGAAGAUUGGAUAACUGAUCGGUGGUUUCAUGUGUUCUAAACUCCAGGUUUCUAAAUUUGCAUGGCAGACUUUAUGAGAAGUCAUGUCCUUUCAAGAAAGUCAGCAAGGUCCCUUGUUUACUAACCUGUUGGCUGCUACCCUUGAGUCUUCCUUUUUACUUUCUUAAGCGGGCCAUCUUUAUUUGAGGGUAAUCCUUCGCUACUUGUCAUGGCCUUCAUCCACAGGUGAAAAACCGACGAGACAAUGCUGCAAUUCAAGACUGAUAAAUUGUUUAAUCGUUAGAUUCAAUUACAAGUGCAUAUCUGGGCUCCCUUCUUUUCUGUGGCCCCGUUUCCCUAACUAACCACUAA